UUUGCAGCGUGUUUGGAAAACAGAACAGGUUACAAUAACUGAACGGGAAGCUGGUAUCUAUGUUGCUAAAUUCCAAUCUGCCUCUGAUAAACAGAGAGUUUUGGACAAUGGUCCGUGGCGUUUCUCUGGUCACUUAGUGAAUUUUAAAUCUUGGAUUCCUAAUACUCCGCUGCAUUGUUACGAUUUCUCUACUUGCGCUAUCUGGGUGCAAGUCUUUGGUUUGCCUUUGGAAUGGUGUUCUGCAAAUUUCAUUGAGAAGGCAGUUAGUACUAUAGGUAAAGUUCUUGAGGUCCAGACUGAGAAUAAGGAAGGCACCUCUCUGCGGGCUGGGCGAGCUCGGGUUGAACUUAACCUGCAGCAACCGUUGAAGACGGGUCAGCUUAUUAGAAUCAGUGGUAAAGUCUUCUGGCUGGACUUUCGGUAUGAGCGCUUGUCACACUUUUGUUAUUCCUGUGGUAUUCUUGGCCACUACGCAUCUUACUGCAAAGACAUUCCUUUUACUGACGCGAAAAUGGACGGCAAAGACAAAAUGGCAUAUGGACAAUGGUUACGAGCUGAAGUGAGGGAGCACAGCCCAUAUUGGAAAACUUUUUAUGCAUCUCAAUAUAAAUAUGAUUUACCCGACGAAGUUAUACCU
rnacentral:lncRNA from 1 species